rnacentral:rRNA from 1 species
GAUGAACGCUGACAGAAUGCUUAACACAUGCAAGUCGAUGGGGAAGUGGUGCUUGCACCAUGGUAACCAUGGCGGACGGGUGAGUAACGCGUAAGGAACUUGCCUGCGGGACUGGGAUAACAGCAGGAAACUGCUGAUAAUACCGGAUAAGGUCAUUAAGCUGCAUAGCUUAGUGAUGAAAGGAGACGCCUGCGGAGAGCCUUGCGUCCUAUUAGCUAGUUGGAGGGGUAACGGCCCACCAAGGCGAAGAUCGGUAGCCGGCCUGAGAGGGUGGACGGCCACAAGGGGACUGAGAUACGGCCCUGACUCCUACGGGAGGCAGCAGUGGGGAAUAUUGGACAAUGGGGGCAACCCUGAUCCAGCAAUUCUGUGUGCACGAAGACGGUUUUCGGAUUGUAAAGUGCUUUCAGCAGGGAAGAAGGAAGUGACGGUACCUGCAGAAGAAGCGACGGCUAAAUACGUG